GAGGAGCUGCCGGGAGGACCACGUGGACUGGACGCCCGGUGGCAGAGCAGCCACUUCGGACUCCAGUAACUCACUUUGUUUUGGUCAUUUCCCAACGGCGCCCCUGAAGUCGGUGCACGGGGAGAGGACACCUCCAGACCAGCACAAGGCGUGACCGCUAAAGGACCCCGCAAAAUUAUCACUGGAAUCCCCUUCCCGUGUGAAGACAUUAGCACCACUUCCGUCCACACCAGCUCAAGGCCUUAAGCUGAGGACGGUUAGUGCUGAGUUCACACUGGUGGUUCGUUUCUGGGAAGACCCCCGCCUUUCUCCGCAGAUGAGGCCGAGGCCCAGGAGCCUUGGGACAGCAGGCAGAAAAGCUGGGGGGAGGGGGGAGGGGCAAACUGGAAGGCUGUGGAGCCCGCCGCAGCCAGGCUGUGUUUCCUCCUGCCGAAGGCCUAGAUGGUUUCUGCUCCAGGAGAAGGAAGCGUCACCGCGCCACCCCUGGCUCUUUUUGGAAACAGACCGGAGGAAAGGGCAUCACAUGUCCCAUGACAACACUGUCCACACAGCACAAACGGGGCCACACCAGUCAUCCAGGUCAAGACGAUUAGGCAGCGGAAACGCGUGACACUGAGACUCGGGUGACGCACGAAGCCCUUCCUCUGUCUUCCCCGGUCAGGAGCGAAAAGAGGAAUGUCAGAGCAAGAGCAAUUUCACAAGUUAUCGAUAAACAUUUGAAAAGGCACUCAACUCACUGUAGAGAAGAGAACGAAAAGUGACACAACAAAGAGGUCGUCUUUCGCCCAUCAGACUGGCUGAAAUUAUGAAGACUGAUCACGUUCCCAAGUCGGCAGUGAAGUCUUUCAGAGGCACACCUCUUUCCUGCACAAAUGCUACAGUGCGAGCCGUUACAGGGGCAGCGCACGGCCCAGGCAGCAAGGGCGGCCCGGGGACUACACUCAGCAUCUCGGCAUCAGAUGCCAGAGCUCUGAACUGUGUCUGUGAGCAUCUGUGCUUCAUCUCAUUUAUCUUGUGCUCCCCUUAGCAAGACGUGUCCUAAGGUAACUGCUCCUUUGAUUUACCCAUUUCGGCUUAUGAAAAAACUCAUAGGAACACUCAACUUCCAGAUAGCAGGAAGCUCGGACCUGUGAUUCAAAUUACAUGUGACUCGAGAAAAGACUAAUCUACUCUGUAAGGAUAGGAGAUGAGUGGCUGUCUGGGCCUGGGGGGGCAGGGGCUGAUGCCUCAGGAGGAGCACAAGGGAAAUGUUGCAUCGAUAGGAGUAUUCUGUAUCUUGAUUAUGGUGAUUGUUACACAGGUGUAUAAAUUUUCAAAACUCGUUGAAAUAUACACUUAAAUGAGUGUAUGAUAUUAUAUGUAAGUUAUACAUAUAUACCUCAAUAAAGUUGAUUUUGGGGG